GAGAGAGCGCAAGGAAAACGUUCUCUGACUGGGCGCAACACGGGUGCGCGCAGGAGAGGAGGCUGUUGAUUGGACGGCGACAAGAAAGGCCAGGAAGCCGGGGAGGAAUGUGAGACUCAGCAGCUGUCAAACCCCACAGAUGGUACAGUAGGUCCUGGCCACUAACAUGCGGAAGAAUAAGGGGGAUCUGAAGCAAGGUUCAGCCUAGCGAGCCACUCCAUGCCUCAACGGUGAUCGCUGUGAAUUGAGAGGCUGAAUGUUGGUUUGGCUGGAUUUACACCCUCUUCAGCAACGAAUCCACACGCCCGCCUUCUCUAUCUCAUCAUGCAUGGCAAUUGUAUAAAACCAAUCCAAGCCUGCUUCUGCUGAAUGCAUAAAGUUCAGCUCAGGCAGCACCCAGCGUUCUCUUGGCAGCGGCUGGAAUAAUGCCUGCGUAGAGAUAUUCUCUCUAAGAGUUUGUGAUGAUGUCAUCGGCCUCUUGUUUGCGUAAUGAGGUCACAUGUCCCUUGACUAUCACAUUACUGCCAACAAGUGUGUUUGCCACUUGUGGUUUAAGUAGUUACACACGUACCAUGUAAAUACCAGAAUGCAUUUUGCCAUGUUUGUCAAGAGCGUUUAUUUUUAUGUGCGCAUUGAUGAUAUCAUCACCUUUUAUUAUAGUGAACAUUGCACAGUGCACGGAAAGAGUUCUAUAUUAUCAAUGCUUUUAUAACACACAACUGAUGCUAACGCAGGUAUAAAUUCCUAUAAAUUAUAUCUGUAUAACGGAAGUAUUCUGAGGUCAUAUAUCUGUGGUUGGGAUAUAUAUCAUAACUUGUCUAGUAUCCUGGGACAAAUGCAUAACGCAGCUGAGGUUGGGCCUCAAUUAGUUGAUUUGUAGCAACACAAAACCCCCACCCCUCCUAGAUUAAAUCCAUAGGGGCGUAUUAAUAAAAAGACAGCAAGUAUGAUACAUAUGUAUUUGCCUAGAUUAAGUCAGGACCUUAUAGCAGCAGCAUAACUAAUCUUCCUUCUUUGGUUUCAAUUAAGUCCUGUGGAUUUAGAGCCAUUUCAUUACACUCUCUAAGCCCCGUGCAACACAAGCCAAUGUUCCAAAUUUACACUGUAGAGAUCUAGCAAGAGCAAACAUGGGGGUAAUUCCAAGUUGAUCGCAGCAGGAAUUUUGUUAGCA